UACGUAGGGUGCGAGCGUUUGUCCGGAAUUAUUGGGCGUAAAGAGCUCGUAGGCGGCUUGUCGCGUCGGCUGUGAAAACCUGGGGCUCAACCCCGGGCCUGCAGCCGAUACGGGCAGACUAGAGUGUGGUAGGGGAGACUGGAAUUCCUGGUGUAGCGGUGAAAUGCGCAGAUAUCAGGAGGAACACCGGUGGCGAAGGCGGGUCUCUGGGCCGGAACUGACGCUGAGGAGCGAAAGCGUGGGGAGCGAACAGG
rnacentral:rRNA from 1 species